AGUUCCCCUCCCUGGUGUUCAUUCUAGCUCCUGUCAGGCGUCUCAUCUGGUUUCGCUUCCUAAUUGUCACAGCUGCUUUCAAUUUUUGUGACAAACUCUAGAAAGUAUUUAGUCUACCAGCUUCUCUAUCUCACCCCUAUCAGGGCGUGGACUUGGUCCCAGCGGAGGAUGACCUUGGAGUUGGAAGUGUUCCACCUGAUCUUGACUGGGGCUUGACUAGGUGCUUAGACAGGACAAGAGCGGGGGAGGAAGAAAAACAGCAGGCAGUCCAGUCAACACACAAUCCAGAAUCAGCUCAGCAUGAAGGAGAUUUCUCAUUAUCACUUCAUCACUCCACUGUUCGGAGCUCGCAGUGACAAAUAUAUUGUGGGGGUGGGACAACCUCACAUCCGGCAGAUAAAUCCACCGCCAACAAGGAGAUGAAGAAAUAUAAGCAAAAUUGACCAUGUUCCACUUUCAUUUACUUAUAAAUAUAACAAAGAAAAAGUCUUU